UUUCUGGGCUGGCCAAGGCCGGAGCCUGCUCCCUCAGCUUGCAGGGAGGUAUGGAGGGAGAGGCGCGAGCCUGAACCGGGGCUGCGCGCGGCGCUUGCGGGCCAGCUGGAGUUCCGGGUGGGCGGGGGCUUGGCGGGCCCGCACUCAGAGCAGCCGGCCGGCCCUGCCGGCCCGGGCAGUGAGGGGCUUAGCAUCCGGGCCAGCGGCUGCGGAGGGUGUACUGGGUCCCCCAGCAGCGCCAGCCCACCGGCACUGUGCUUGAUUUCUCACCGGGCCUUAGCUGCCUUCCCGCGGGGCAGGGCUCGGGACCUGCAGUCCGCCAUGCCUGAGCCUCCCACCCCCUCUAUGGGCUCCUGUGCGGCCCGAGCCUCCCCGACGAGCGCCACCCCCUGCUCCACAGCGCCCAGUCCCAUCGACCACACAAGGGCUGAGGAGUGUGGGCCCACGGCACCGGGACUGGCAGGCAGCUCCACCUGCAGCCCCGGUGCAGGAUCCACUGGGUGAAGCCAGCUGGGCUCCUGAGUCUGGUGGGGACGUGGAGAACCUUUAUGUCUUGCUCAGGGAUUGUGAAUGCACCAAUCGGCACUCUGUAUCUAGCUCAAGGUUUGUGAACACACCAAUCGGCACCCUGUGUCUAGCUCAGGGUUUGUGAAUGCACUAAUCGACACUCCAUAUCUAACUACUCUGGUGGGGUCUUGGAGAACCUUUAUGUCUAGCUCAGGGAUUGUAAAUACACCAAUCAGCACUCUGUAUCUAGCUCAAGGUUUGUAAACACACCAAUCAGCACCCUGUGUCUAGCUCAGGGUUUGUGAAUGCACCAAUCGACACUGUAUCUAGCUGCUCUGGUGGGGCCUUGGAGAACCUUUGUGUCCAUACUCUGUAUCUAACUGAUCUGAUGGGGAGGUGGAGAACCUUUGUCUCUAGCUCAGUGAUUGUAAAGGCACCAAUCAGCGCCCUGUCAAAACAGACCACUGGGCUCUACCAAUCAGCAGGACAUGGGUGGGGCCAGAUAAGAGAAUAAAAGCAGGCUGCCCGAGCCAGAAGUAGCAACUUGCUCAGGUCCCCUUCCACAUUGUGGAAGCUUUGUUCUUUCGCUCCUUGUAAUAAAUCUUGCUACUGCUCACUUUUUGGGUCCACGCUGCUUUUAUGAGCUGUAACGCCCACCGUAAAGGUCUGCAGCUUCACUUCUGAAGCCACCGAGACCACAAGCCCACCGGGAGGAACGAACAACUCCAGACGCGCCGCCUUAAGAGUUGUAACACUCACUGCGAAGGUCUGCAGCUUCACUCCUGAGCCAGAGAGACCACAAACCGGGCGGGAACACCAGAAGGAAAAAACUCCGAACACAUCCGAACAUCAGAAGGAACAAACUCCAAACACGCCACCUUAAGAGCGGUAACACUCACCGCGAGAGUCCGCAGCUUCAUUCUUGAAGUCAGUGAGACCAAGAACCCACCAAUUUCGGACACACUGUCACCACUGUUUUGAAGUUAGAUAUUCAACACUUGAGGAUGGCAAUUCCUUCAAACUAGAAUAAAAACAGAUGCACUGUUGCUGUUCCAUCCUUCUAUAUAUACAUGUCAUAAGCAAUGCACUUUCAGACCUCUGCCCUUGGGACUGGCACCCAGGAAUUUUCUCAUCAGGCCAGUUCUGCUGCAUGGUCUGGAACUGGCAGCAAUGGUGGCAACUCUCUCAUUAGGGUAGUGCUUUGGUAUGGCUCUCGACUUUAUUGAGACUUAGCCAUUUACUCCAGCCUUCUCAAUGAUCCCUUCAACUACCUAACAUCUUUUAUUCAAUUUAUUUCAGCUACAAUUAGCCAGGGUGAACUCUGUUAUUUGAAAACGAGGCAUGAGCCACCACACCCGGCCUGUGAUGGUAUUUUGUAGGAUGAAAUUAACAUUUAGAUUGCU
rnacentral:lncRNA from 10 species